CAAAACAUAAAGCAAUUUUUAAUGCAAUAUGACUAAUUGAAGUCUUCGAAAUUAUGCUCCCUCAACCUUCCACAUGUAAUUUGUGUGAUUGUGCAUAGUAUAUGGUCGACACUUUAAAUCAGCCCAUUCUGAAUACACUCUCAAAAUUUGGUGAAAACUUCACCUAUUUGUUUUCACAAGAUGUAGUUUAAAAGAGACAGAAACGUCAUAGAAAUUAACAUUUCAUGACACAUGAGACAAAAAUUUUAGGCUCUUGCUGAACUCCAGGAGCUCUCUGCACAUGAGGACUAGUACUGCGUUGCUGGAUAUUUUCUUAGUGAAGCUAAUGCUCGCCUCAGGUCCCUGCUACUCAGCAUUUCCAGAGGGGCCUUGAGAAGUGACAGGCCUAGAGAAUGCAUGCUAACUUGGCAGUAGUGACAAAGGGGUACUUGGAAGUUAUUCCGCGUUCAGAGCAGAGCACAAUCAAGAGAAUGCUUGAUUACUAGGGGGAAAAGAAGGUGAAAAGUGAGGUGUGCCAACAAAAUUGCCUAGGCCUUCUGGAUUUGGGGCACACUUUUUUGUUAAUUAUUUUUAAGAAAAAUCAUUCUCAAAUGAUAUUUCACCCUUUUCCCUCAUUUUUAUGAAAUUCUGCAUUUUGGUCAAUUUCAAAAAAAAAAGAGUUAAGAGGAGGUAACUGUUGUCUCUGGAUCAUUGGUUCUCACAGUGCCAUAUUCAUAUAUUCUUGUGGAUACGAGAGUUGUUAGUUUAAAGAAUUAAUGAAAAGAUGUCAAUUUUCAAUUUUCAAGGUGAAUUAACAAAGCAAGUCCUAAUCGAUGUGACUGGCUUUUGGUUGUUAGACAAGCAUGUCAUAUGUAUGUAUGUAUGCCUUCAUUUCAUCCCUGU
rnacentral:lncRNA from 1 species